GCCCAUUUAGCUUAACGGUAAAGCCGCCAGCUCAUAUCUGGUUCGAUGUGAGUUCAACUCUCACGAUGGGCACCA
rnacentral:tRNA from 1 species